CAAAACAUUGUCUUAUGAAUAAAAUAUUAGAUAAUACCUGCCCAGUGACAUAAGUUCAACGGCCGCGGUAUCCUAACCGUGCAAAGGUAGCAUAAUCACUUGCCUAUUAAUUGUAGGCUAGAAUGAAAGGGUUAACGAAAUAAAAACUGUCUCAAUUAAUUAUAUAAAAAUUAUUUUCUAUCUGAAGAAAGGUAGAUAAUCUCGAAGGACAAGAAGACCCUAUAGAGCUUAAUUUUAAUUAUAGAACCACUAUAAAAAUAUUCGGUUGGGGCGACCCAGGGCUAAUCAUCACCCAUUAAAUAAAAGAUAAAUAAAUCUAAUAAAUGACCCUUUAAAGAUCAUAAGAACAAGCUACCUUAGGGAUAACAGGCUAAUCCCACUUAAGAGUCCUUAUCAACAGUGGGGUUUGGCACCUCGAUGUUGGCUUAGGGUAUCUAUAUAACGCAAAAGCUAUAUAAAGAUGGUUUGUUCAACCAAUAAUUCCCUACGUGAUCUGGU
rnacentral:rRNA from 1 species